UUACGGCCAUAUCAUAUUGAAACACUGGUUCCUGUACGAACCCCGAAUUUAAGCAACGUUGAGUCUGGUCAGUAAUUAGAUUGGUGACCACCUCCAAAUGCCAAGUGUUGUAAG